UGAGUGGCGUUUGAGUGGUAUUUUGAGUGGCGUUUGAGUGGUGUUCGAGUGGUAGUUUGAAUGGUAUUUGAGUGGUAUUUUGAGUUGUGUUUGAGUGCUAUUUGAGUAGCAUUUCGAGUGGUGUUUGAGUGGUAGUUUGAGUGGCGUUUGAGUGGUAUUUUGAGUGGCGUUUUGAGUGGUAGUUUGAAUCGUGUUUGAGUGGUAGUUUGAGUGGUAUUUUAUUUCCAGCAUUUUCCACCACAGUGGAUGUAUUUAUUUUAUAUACAGAAUUCUGCUAAGUGGUCAUAAACAAUACUACAGCCCGUACUGCGCAGGCGCGUUACCGGCUGCUUAACUAAAGAUAAUGCUUGAAAACUCAAUUGUGAGCUGAUGCAUUCGUGUGAUAAAAUAAGAACUCCCAAAGCAGCUGCAUUUGUGUGAAAUACUGGGUUAUCACACACAGGACCUUUCAAACAACAGAUACGAUGCAAUAAAACAUAAUACACGUCACAUAGACUGUUCGAGAAACGCGCAGUUCAACUUUGGAGAGGCUCGUAACAUGAACGCCCAGGACACCGUACUCUAGGAAAUACCAACUACCAAAACCGAGGGGUGGAAGUGACUACUUGUGUAAAUUAGUUUUUAAUACUGAAGGCAGUACACAAUUUAAAACGCUGCGAACCUCUUUUAAAAUGUGUUGUGUUACAGUGUAAUGCGUUAGAGAAGUAUUAUUAUAGUCCCCCCCCCUCUACACACAGUCAGUUCUGCAACCCCCCCUCUGUUAUUGAAGGUCUGCUUACGCCUACACUGUUGCCAGCGUGCGGAGAGGAAGGCGGGUCUGUGCGUGUGUGUGUGUGUUUGUUUGUUUGUUUGUUUGUUUGUUUGUUUGUUGGUUGGUUGGUGUUCACGGUGUUUACAGCACGCUGGCCCUGUCCCGUACGUGUCACUCGGUCCCGGGGUGAGGUGUCAGUACUCGCAGGGGCUGCGUGGAAACGGCGCUUCACUUGAGGGCGGUGAUUUCUCUUCAUUGUGUUUGUUUUAGGAAAGGUGGUUGUUGUUGUUGUUGUUGUUUUUGUCGUCGUCCUGAAACCUCAGUUCAGCCGAGCUGCUAAAAACAUGAUCAUCCCGGUGCGGUGCUUCACAUGCGGGAAGAUCGUGGGAAACAAGUGGGAGGCUUACCUGGGCCUGCUGCAAGCCGAGUACACGGAGGGCGAUGCCCUGGAUGCUGCUGGCGCAUGUGGACCUCAUCGAGAAGCUGCUGAACUACGCACCGCUGGAGAAGUGAGGAGCCGCAGGCCCUGCAAACCAGCGUGUGCGUGACCACCUGGAACACACCCACAGGCCGGCCGCAAACGUUUCUCUUGCCUGCGUUUACAUUGCUUUCUUCCUUCGAUAAAGACACUGAAUCACGUUUUUCCCCAUGUAAAUAAGACACGGUGCUCCCUCCGUGAGGCUUCUGUAGGUCACGCUGCACUAUCAUUGAAAAACCCACUCACUCCCACUCAGGAUCAGUUAUAUUGUGCAAAAAAAUAAAAUCUGAUCAUUUUUGAACCUC